rnacentral:rRNA from 1 species
GACGAACGCUGGCGGCGUGCUUAACACAUGCAAGUCGAACGGAAAGGCCUUUUCGGAGGUACUCGAGUGGCGAACGGGUGAGUAACACGUGGGUGAUCUGCCCUGCACUCUGGGAUAAGCCUGGGAAACUGGGUCUAAUACCAGAUAGGACCGCACUUUAGUGUGUGUGGUGGAAAGUUUUUUCGGUGUAGGAUGAGCCCGCGGCCUAUCAGCUUGUUGGUGGGGUAAUGGCCUACCAAGGCGGCGACGGGUAGCCGGACUGAGAGGUUGGUCGGCCACAUUGGGACUGAGAUACGGCCCAGACUCCUACGGGAGGCAGCAGUGGGGAAUAUUGCACAAUGGGCGCAAGCCUGAUGCAGCGACGCCGCGUGGGGGAUGACGGCCUUCGGGUUGUAAACUCCUUUCGCCAGGGACGAAGCGUUUUGUGACGGUACCUGGAGAAGAAGCACCGGCUAACUACGUG